GUCUCUCUGGAUUUGACUUCUCUAGAGUUAAUUUCACAAAUAUCAGGAAUCUUGGAUUCUAGACUCAGCUUUCCUAUUAAUUGUAUGAUCUUUGAAGUCACCUGAUCAUCAGAACCAUUGAAAGAAAACUGAAAUGAGAGCAAGGAGAACCAAUUAUAAAGAGUGCUUCGGUUUGGCAAAGAUGCUUGAAAUGGCCAGUUUGUUGCAAGCGGAGCCAGGCGGAGAGCUGAAAAUGUAAAGUUU